rnacentral:rRNA from 1 species
AAUGAACGCUGGCGGUAGGCUUAACACAUGCAAGUCGAACGGAAGGACAGCUGGUGCCAGGGCUAAUGGGGGGCGAGUGGCGGACGGAACAGGAAGACAACGGGCUCUACAUUUUGGUAGGGGCUAAGGUAGGGGAACUUACGCCCAUAUAGGAAACUACCUAGGGGUGCAAGGUGGAGAUAUUUGUCCCUUGCGUGAGUGCAUGCGCCGAUGUCGGAUUAGCUAGUUGGCGGGGUAAAGGCAGACCAAGGCGACGAUCCGUAGCUGGUCUGAGAGGAUGAUCGGCCACACUGGAACUGAGACACGGUCCAGACUCCUACGGGAGGCAGCAGUGGGGAAUAUUGGACAAUGGGCGCAAGCCUGAUCCAGCCAUACCGCGUGGGUGAAGAAGGCCUUCGGGUUGUAAAGCCCUUUUGUUGGGAAAGAAAAGCAGCAGGUUAAUACCCCGCUGUUCUGACGGUACCCAAAGAAUAAGCACCGGCUAACUUCGUG